rnacentral:RNase_P_RNA from 1 species
CAAGUAAAUCGCCUUAUCGCUGAAUGUUCAAUUUAAUUGGACAAUUGGAGGAAAGUCCGAACACCGUAGUGCAACAUAAUGGUUAAUGGCCAUCGGUCGUGAGAUCAGGAAAAGUGCAACAGAAAGUAUGUACAGGUCAUGCUGUAGUGAAACCAGGUAAACUCUAUGUGGUGCAAUGUCAUGUAAACCAACGCUGCUUGCUCGCUGUUUGUUUUUAACAGAUAGUGGCAGGCGAGAGGGCGGCACGCUCGAUUGUUGGAGGGUAGACAGCUAAAGUGUGCUGGCAACAGUACACUCAGAUAAAUGAUAAGGGUCGCGGCUCGAUAAUUAUCGGGAACGUGAUACAGAAUUCGGCUUAUAGAUUUACUUAAACA